UGCGAAGCGAAGCAGUGAUGUGAAGCAAAUCGCACCAAAGCCAGUCCCAGUUCGGAUAAGAGGCUGAAACUCGCCUCUUUGAAGUCGGAAUCGCUAGUAAUCGCAGAUCAGCAUGUUGCGGUGAAUACGUUCCCGGGUCUUGUACACACCGCCCGUCAAACCAUGAGAGUCACCAACACCCGAAGUCCGCCUUGGCGGCCUAAGGUGGGGGAGAUGAUUGGGGUUAAGUCGUAACAAGGUAGC
rnacentral:rRNA from 1 species